UCCGCGAUAGCUCAGCUGGUAAAGCAUCUGCCCAGUAUGCAGAUGGUCGCCGGUUCGAUUCCGGCUCGCGGCG
rnacentral:tRNA from 1 species